rnacentral:rRNA from 1 species
AUACGGAGGGUGCAAGCGUUAUCCGGAAUCAUUGGGUUUAAAGGGUCCGCAGGCGGAUUAAUAAGUCAGUGGUGAAAUCCUCUCGCUCAACGAGAGAACUGCCAUUGAAACUGUUAGUCUUGAAUUCGGUCGAAGUAGGCGGAAUGUGCCAUGUAGCGGUGAAAUGCAUAGAUAUGCCACAGAACACCGAUAGCGAAGGCAGCUUACUAGACCUGGAUUGACGCUCAUGGACGAAAGCGUGGGGAGCGAACAGGAUUAGAAACCCCGGUAGUCC